UACGUAGGGGGCUAGCGUUGUCCGGAUUUAUUGGGCGUAAAGCGUGCGUAGGCGGUUUGUUAAGUCUGUCGUGAAAGCCCCGGGCUUAACCUGGGAAUGGCAUUGGUGACUGCACGGCUAGAGUGUGUCAGAGGGGGGUAGAAUUCCACGUGUAGCAGUGAAAUGCGUAGAGAUGUGGAGGAAUACCGAUGGCGAAGGCAGCCCCCUGGGAUAACACUGACGCUCAUGCACGAAAGCGUGGGGAGCAAACAGG
rnacentral:rRNA from 1 species